CAGGGUUUUUCGGAACCUUGGGUGGACUUUGGACUUGGGCGUCUGCCUCCCCAGGCUCGCCUCAAAUGACUCUGUGGGAUCCUGUGGCCCAUGCCUGACGUAAUAAGUUUCGUCUCGGCCGGUCACUGGGAGCCUGCUCACAACACCCCAUAUCUUUUGACAUUGACCUCAAAUCAGGUAGGGCUACCCGCUGAACUUAA
rnacentral:misc_RNA from 1 species